AUUGAACGCUGGCGGCAGGCUUAACACAUGCAAGUCGAGCGGGGGAAGGUAGCUUGCUACCGGACCUAGCGGCGGACGGGUGAGUAAUGCUUAGGAAUCUGCCUAUUAGUGGGGGACAACAUCUCGAAAGGGAUGCUAAUACCGCAUACGUCCUACGGGAGAAAGCAGGGGAUCUUCGGACCUUGCGCUAAUAGAUGAGCCUAGGUCGGAUUAGCUAGUUGGUGGGGUAAAGGCCUACCAAGGCGACGAUCCGUAGCGGGUCUGAGAGGAUGAUCCGCCACACUGGGACUGAGACACGGCCCAGACUCCUACGGGAGGCAGCAGUGGGGAAUAUUGGACAAUGGGGGGAACCCUGAUCCAGCCAUGCCGCGUGUGUGAAGAAGGCCUUAUGGUUGUAAGGCACUUUAAGCGAGGAGGAGGCUACUUUAGUUAAUACCUAGAGAUAGUGGACGUUACUCGCAGAAUAAGCACCGGCUAACUCUGUGCCAGCAGCCGCCGUAA
rnacentral:rRNA from 1 species